rnacentral:rRNA from 1 species
AUUGCCCUAGUAACGGCGAGUGAAGCGGCAACAGCUCAAAUUUGAAAGCUAGCCUUCGGGUUCGCAUUGUAAUUUGUAGAGGAUGCUUUGGGUAAAACGCCAGUCUAAGUUCCUUGGAACAGGACGUCAUAGAGGGUGAGAAUCCCGUAUGUGACUGGAAAUGUUAACCUAUGUAAAGCUCCUUCGACGAGUCGAGUUGUUUGGGAAUGCAGCUCUAAAUGGGAGGUAAAUUUCUUCUAAAGCUAAAUAUUGGCGAGAGACCGAUAGCGCACAAGUAGAGUGAUCGAAAGAUGAAAAGCACUUUGGAAAGAGAGUUAAAAAGCACGUGAAAUUGUUGAAAGGGAAGCGCUUGCAAUCAGACUUGUUUAAACUGUUCGGCCGGUCUUCUGACCGGUUUACUCAGUUUGGACAGGCCAGCAUCAGUUUCGGCGGCCGGAUAAAGGCUCUGGGAAUGUGGCCUCCACUUCGGUGGAGGUGUUAUAGCCCAGUGUGUAAUACGGCCAGCCGGGACUGAGGUCCGCGCUUCGGCUAGGAUGCUGGCGUAAUGGUUGUAAGCGACCCGUCUUGAAACA